rnacentral:rRNA from 2 species
CGGGUGAGUAACACGUGGGCAAUCUGCCCUGCACUCUGGGAUAAGCCCGGGAAACUGGGUCUAAUACCGGAUACGACACUCCGAGGCAUCUUGGGGUGUGGAAAGUUCCGGCGGUGCAGGAUGAGCCCGCGGCCUAUCAGCUUGUUGGUGGGGUAAUGGCCUACCAAGGCGACGACGGGUAGCCGGCCUGAGAGGGUGACCGGCCACACUGGGACUGAGACACGGCCCAGACUCCUACGGGAGGCAGCAGUGGGGAAUAUUGCACAAUGGGCGAAAGCCUGAUGCAGCGACGCCGCGUGAGGGAUGACGGCCUUCGGGUUGUAAACCUCUUUCAGCAGGGAAGAAGCGAAAGUGACGGUACCUGCAGAAGAAGCACCGGCUAACUACGUGCCAGCAGCCGCGGUAAUACGUAGGGUGCGAGCGUUGUCCGGAAUUAUUGGGCGUAAAGAGCUCGUAGGCGGUUUGUCGCGUCGAUUGUGAAAGCCCGGGGCUUAACCCUGGGUCUGCAGUCGAUACGGGCAGGCUAGAGUUCGGCAGGGGAGACUGGAAUUCCUGGUGUAGCGGUGAAAUGCGCAGAUAUCAGGAGGAACACCGGUGGCGAAGGCGGGUCUCUGGGCCGAUACUGACGCUGAGGAGCGAAAGCGUGGGGAGCGAACAGGAUUAGAUACCCUGGUAGUCCACGCCGUAAACGGUGGGCACUAGGUGUGGGCAACAUUCCACGUUGUCCGUGCCGCAGCUAACGCAUUAAGUGCCCCGCCUGGAGACGCCAACGGG